rnacentral:rRNA from 1 species
UACAGAGGUCUCAAGCGUUGUUCGGAUUCAUUGGGCGUAAAGGGUGCGUAGGCGGCGCGGUAAGUCGGGUGUGAAAUCUUGGAGCUUAACUCCGAAACUGCAUUCGAUACUGCCGUGCUUGAGGACUGGAGAGGAGAGUGGAAUUCCUGGUGUAGCGGUGAAAUGCGCAGAUAUCAGGAAGAACACCCGUGGCGGAAGGCGGCUCUCUGGGACGGUACUGACGCUGAGACGCGAAAGCGUGGGGAGCGAAACAGG